GUGUGUCGAUCAGAAUUGAAUCUGGAAAAUGAAGAGGAUGUUCAGGAAUUGGUGACCGUUUCAGGUUGAGUCAGUGGUUUUGGUGUGUGUCAGCUACUUGGUGAGUGUGCCCUUUAGUCAGUGGGAGCACAGGGCACGCUGUGACUCGCACUGGUCUGUGCUGGCUUCUCUCCUCUGUCCUAUAGUAGUGUUACCAGCUAACAGAGUUCACCAAGAAUAUAGCCAGAUCGUUACGAAUUUGGAAUGUUGCUUUAAAACCUGUGUAUUUUUAUUAACUUGCAGAAAGUGAACUCGUGAGGCACAAGCUGAAAAUUGCUUUAGAUGUUCUUAGGGAAACUAACGCCCUUUUCAGCCCUAGGGCCGCCUCAUUGGCUAGUUUAGCUUUCCCUGGUCUAGAGGCCCCU
rnacentral:lncRNA from 1 species